GCUAUACUUCUCAGGUAUCAGGAAAGCUGGGAGCACUUGUUGUAACAGCAGCUGUGAUGCAUUGCCAUCAACACCACCCACAUUUGCCGAACUGUCCUAGGAAGGCAUGGUGUUCCUGCCCAAUUAAAAUGGCCGGCCAUAGGGAGGAAUGAAAACUCAGGGGAGGCUUUGGGAAAACGCAAGUCAUCCCAGACGGAACGUACGGCUUCUUUACAGGAGGCUCUAUGACAAAAGAAAGAAGACAGCCAAGGCUGCCAGGAUCUUCCUGAGCAGAAGCCGCUUCCUGAUGUUCUUCACAAGAAAUAGGCAGAGCGGGCUAUCCUCCUUUAUGUCCAGACAGAUUGAGGUUCGUUUCCCAGCAUCUCCAGGGACACCAUCUUUUUGGAGCUCCAGAUUUUGCCUACCGUAUCCUGACUCUGGCUGUGACUUGCCUGCUGUGUAUGAUGUUGGAUCGAGUUGAGUGUGUUGCUUAGACUCUCUCUGCCUGUUUGCUCUUACCGCCUGACUGUCUUGACUCUCGACUGUUCUUGGACUUCGGUUUUGGAUCUGCCUUGGCUGCUUCACCCAACUUGCUGGUGACGUUGCCUCCUCCUCACUUUGAAGGACCAUCUAGGCCAGGCCAGAUUGAAACAGAACAAACCACAGGAAGGGAGAGCAGAGGACGAGUCUUGGAACAGCUUGUCCAGAAGCAACAGAAGCUGGGCAGCAAUCAGCAGCCGAUUUAACAGGUGCUGCUUUUCAACGGACAACCUGAGUUGGCCCAGAACUUGAGGUGCCCAACCCUAGCGGUAUUUCUGUAACAAAGAAGACGCACACAUGCAGUGUGGCAGAGUGGUUAAAAUGCUGGACCAGCGAGAGGAAGACCUUUGGCCACAAACCUCGCUGCGUGACCAUGGGCCAGUUAUACAUUUCCAGCCUGCUGUAGCUUCCUGGAUUGUUGUAAUAAUACAGUGAGGAUGGAUGAGAACUGUGGAUGGUGCCUCAGGUUCUCUGAAGAAGAAGCAGGGUAGAUAUACAAGAAAUAAAUAAUGAAGCCUCACUGGGAGUAAGUUAUGCUUCAUGGCUGCCAUGCUUAUAUUUAUUUAUUUUAAAUGGUUUUGUACUUGAGAUCAAGCCCCAAUGGGAUCUACUUCUGAGUUGGAUAGAAGUGUGUUUUUUUUCUUGGAGGGUGCCCAUGUGUAAAAUCAUGAGGACUAGAGCCUAUUUUAAAAACCAAAUCUAGGGCUCUUCUCGGUCUUCUGCUGAAAGCACGUCAGCAGAGCUGCCUUUAGAUCGCAAUGCAGUGAAAGUACGCGCCAUGGCUUGGGAAGCAGAAUUCAGCUUCUUGAAUAUCAAGGCCUCCAUUUGAGCCAAGUUGCUAGUCCUUAUGUUUGUAAUGCAACACUUAUGAUGCUUGUGGGCCGCAACUGCUCCUCAGAAGCGAGAAAAGCUGCUGAACAAGCUUGCCAGUGGUUUGGGGUGGGGCUUCAUCUGUGCCUCGUUAUGCUCAACUAGCAAAGCCAAGGGAAAAGAAUGCAAAACAGUGAGUUGUACCAUUUCUUUCCACCUGGUAUGAAAGAUAGCAAGACCUCAGAAACUACUCUUGUGUUUAUAUUUCUACUACAGAGCCUUGAAAGCAUAUAGUUUUCACGAUCACUGGAGGUGAUUCUACUGUUUCUUUCCUUGGUCGUAUUGAGCAAUCUUUUCCUUUUCAUGCCCAAAGAAUGCAACAUCUGUUAUAUGGAAUCUGAUGAGUCUUUUAUUGCUGUUGCCAAUUUAUGACAAACAGCUAAAUAUCUGCAAGCUUUCGCCACUGUGGUUUUCUGACAUUGGCCAGGCCAUGUAGAGUUUGCAGUUCAUUGUAUCUGAAGUAGUUUGGUUACACCCAGACUGAAAGCAUGCCCAAUGCACGGGCAUGUUGGCUGGGGAAUUCUGGGAGAUGUAGUCCCCUCCAAACAAACAAACAAACAAAAAACAACCAUCCCUAGCUCUGGGAUGAACUGUAGUGUAAGGAUGCAGAAGCAAUUUAGUGUAAAAUGAACAGAUAGUAUAGCAUGGUUGUUCUAGAAAUCAGUGCAAAAAUAUUUCAACGGCUCCUAGCUGUUUUGUGCAAACUGUGGGGGAGUUUGAACAUUGGCUGCUGGAAAGAGCCUUCCCUCAACAGCAGGGCAGCUGGAUAAUUUUAGACGAUUGAUGGGAGGUGUGCAAUCCG